AAGCUCGUAGUUGAAUUUCGGGAUCAAAUUGUCGGUCGUGCCUCGGUACGUACUGGCGUUAUUGGUUCCUCCCUUCUGAAGAACCACGAUGUCAUUAAUUUGGUGUCGCGGGGAAUCAGGACUGUUACUUUGAAAAAAUUAGAGUGUUUAAAGCAGGCUCGCGCUUGAAUACAUUAGCAUGGAAUAAUGAAAUAGGACGUUUGAUUCUAUUUUGUUGGUUUCUAGGAUCGACGUAAUGAUUAAUAGGGAUAGUUGGGGGCAUUAGUAUUCAAUUGUCAGAGGUGAAAUUCUUGGAUUUAUUGAAGACUAACUACUGCGAAAGCAUUUGCCAAGGAUGUUUUCAUUAAUCAAGAACGAAAGUUAGGGGAUCGAAGACGAUCAGAUACCGUCGUAGUCUUAACCAUAAACUAUGCCGACUAGGGAUCGGAUGAUGUUAAUUUUUUAAUGACUCAUUCGGCGCCUUACGGGAAACCAAAGUGUUUGGGUUCCGGGGGGAGUAUGGUCGCAAGGCUGAAACUUAAAGGAAUUGACGGAAGGGCACCACCAGGGGUGGAGCCUGCGGCUUAAUUUGACUCAACACGGGGAAACUCACCAGGUCCAGACAUAGUAAGGAUUGACAGAUUGAGAGCUCUUUCUUGAUUCUAUGGGUG
rnacentral:rRNA from 1 species